rnacentral:miRNA from 1 species
AAUAUCCUUUUAACAAAUUAUGCGUAUUUAAGGAGAUAGGGCUGCGCAUGCGCAGAACGUAUCUCCUUACCUUUGCACUUUUUGGUAAGAAGAUGUUAUCGAAAGUUGUUCGUCUUGAUGAUGGCUACAACUUUCCUUAAUAUCCUUUUAACAAAUUAUGCGUAUUUAAGGAGAUAGGGCUGCGCAUGCGCAGAACGUAUCUCCUUACCUUUGCACUUUUUGGUAAGAAGAUGUU